rnacentral:rRNA from 1 species
GACGAACGCUGGCGGCGUGCUUAACACAUGCAAGUCGAGCGGAAAGGCCCUUCGGGGUACUCGAGCGGCGAACGGGUGAGUAACACGUGAGCAACCUGCCCUAGGCUUUGGGAUAACCCCGGGAAACCGGGGCUAAUACCGAAUAGGACCUGGCCUCGCAUGAGGCUGGGUGGAAAGUUUUUCGGCCUGGGAUGGGCUCGCGGCCUAUCAGCUGGUUGGUGGGGUGAUGGCCUACCAAGGCGACGACGGGUAGCCGGCCUGAGAGGGCGAACGGCCACACUGGGACUGCGACACGGCCCAGACUCCAACGGGAGGCAGCAGUGGGGAAUAUUGCACAAUGGGCGGAAGCCUGAUGCAGCGACGCCGCGUGAGGGAUGACGGCCUUCGGGUUGUAAACCUCUUUCAGCAGGGACGAAGCGUAAGUGACGGUACCUGCAGAAGAAGCGCCGGCCAACUACGUGCCAGCCGCCGCCGUAAAAC